UCUUUAAUGCGACCAACGUCAGUGACAAGUCUGAUAAAUGCAGAGUCAAAGA
ncrna:unclassified sequences type-P1 twister ribozyme